rnacentral:rRNA from 1 species
AUUGAACGCUGGCGGAAUGCUUUACACAUGCAAGUCGAGCGGCAGCGCGGGGCAACCUGGCGGCGAGCGGCGAACGGGUGAGUAAUGCAUCGGAACGUACCCCGUCGUGGGGGAUAACUACCCGAAAGGGUAGCUAAUACCGCAUACGACCUGAGGGUGAAAGCAGGGGACCGCAAGGCCUUGCGCUCUUUGAGCGGCCGAUGUCAGAUUAGCUAGUUGGUGAGGUAAAGGCUUACCAAGGCGACGAUCUGUAGCGGGUCUGAGAGGAUGAUCCGCCACACUGGAACUGAGACACGGUCCAGACUCCUACGGGAGGCAGCAGUGGGGAAUUUUGGACAAUGGGCGCAAGCCUGAUCCAGCCAUGCCGCGUGAGUGAAGAAGGCCUGUGUAAGA